UCCCAAACCAAAUGCCAAAUUACUAUUGUUCCACCAUUUAUCUUAUUCAAAAUUUAAUCUAAAUAUAAAAUAGAUCAUAAACAAGUAAUUUCGGAUAGUAGUACAUGUGUAUUAUAUUAGCGAUGCAAACAUUUAUAGCUUACCAUGACCUUUUAUUAUGAGUAGUGCAUUUGUCUUAUCUUCGUAUUCCUAUGCUCGGAAUGAUUUUUUUUACACGUGCUUGGAGCGAUCUUGGUAGACUCGUACCAUGACUUGGUUUAAGAACCACAUGGAACAACCACCCACCCGCCCUAAUAUCAUCGUUCUCUUUUCUCUUUUUUAUCCUCUUUGUGUCUUAAAACUCUCGCCAGGAUUUCAUCUAUAUACCUAUACCUAAUAUUAAAGAGGUAAAAUUUCUUUCCACUAAUUUUUUUCGUCCGGCCCUUAGCUAACUUUGUGAAUGCGGAGACCGUCCUAGACACAUCUACACCCCUACUAUUUUAGACGCCUAGGCUUCUUGCCUAGAAUAGCCUAAAUAGGAAUCCUACUCGAAAUAGAAUUAAAAAAGGAAAUAAAAGUAGAAAGUAAGCAAAUACGUAUAAAUU
rnacentral:lncRNA from 1 species